rnacentral:rRNA from 1 species
GACGAACGCUGGCGGCGUGCUUAACACAUGCAAGUCGAACGGAAAGGCCCUGCUUGCAGGGUACUCGAGUGGCCAACGGGUGAGUAACACGUGGGUGAUCUGCCCUGCACUUCGGGAUAAGCAUGGGAAACUGGGUCUAGUACCGGAUAGGAGCCAUUUUUAGUGUGAUGGUUGGAAAGUUUUUUCGGUUUAGGAUGAGCUCGCGGGCUAUCAGCUUGUUGGUGGGGUAAUGGCCUACCAAGGCGGCGACGGGUAGCCGGCCUGUGAGGGUGGACGGCCACAUUGGGACUGAGAGACGGCCCAGACACCGACGCGAGGGAGCAGUGGGGAAUAUUGCACAAUGGGCGCAAGCCGGAUGCAGCGACGCCGCGUGGGGGAUGACGGCCUUCGGGUUGUAAACUCCUUUCGCUAGGGACUAAGCUUUUUGUGACGGUACCUAGAUAAGAAGCACCGGCUAACUACGUG